CCUACGGGAGGCAGCAGUGGGGAAUAUUGCACAAUGGGCGCAAGCCUGAUGCAGCCAUGCCGCGUGUGUGAAGAAGGCCUUCGGGUUGUAAAGCACUUUCAGCGGGGAGGAAGGCGGUGAGGUUAAUAACCUCAUCGAUUGACGUUACCCGCAGAAGAAGCACCGGCUAACUCCGUGCCAGCAGCCGCGGUAAUACGGAGGGUGCAAGCGUUAAUCGGAAUUACUGGGCGUAAAGCGCACGCAGGCGGUCUGUCAAGUCGGAUGUGAAAUCCCCGGGCUCAACCUGGGAACUGCAUUCGAAACUGGCAGGCUAGAGUCUUGUAGAGGCGGGUAGAAUUCCAGGUGUAGCGGUGAAAUGCGUAGAGAUCUGGAGGAAUACCGGUGGCGAAGGCGGCCCCCUGGACAAAGACUGACGCUCAGGUGCGAAAGCGUGGGGAGCAAACAGGAUUAGAUACCCCAGUAGUC
rnacentral:rRNA from 1 species